UUAGGUUAAACACGAUCCUACAUAUUGGACUUUUGAUGCACAAAUUCACUCGGGUAAGCACCAAAAACAGCAACCAACACCAAAGGCAAACACAAAAUGCAAACAACAAAUGGAGGAAGGCUAUGGGAUUUCCAAACUCGCUUUUGUUCCUAAACAAGUGAGGAAGGAGGUUGGAAUAAGGUUUAGUGAUCCUAGCUAAUCACCAACACCAUGACAAACAAGAAUCAAGGAUGUUACUCACCUAGAUUCCCAGAUGCCGUGAGAAAAGGAGGGGCUUGAGAGCUUCAAAGCUUCUUCAAUUUACCAAUAUCUCUUUUCUGCUUUUCAUUGAACGUGGAAGAGGGUUUCAUACACCCUCCAAAUUACACAAAAGAAAUAAAAAAAUAAACCUAAAUUAGGGACCAAUGAGUGGCUAGAGUUGGAGUUAGGUGAGAAUUGGGUCCCACCAAGCCUCCUAAUCCAACCACAUGGAACUAUCAACUAAAGCCACGUCCCAAGCAUAUCUAAAUAGGAGGGAAAAAUGGAAACUUAGGGUUGGACCUAAGUUCCAUCAAAAAGGGCUUGGGUUGGUCCAAACCGAACCAAAAUCCCAUCAAAAUUGGUUCAAACCGAACCAAUUUGAUUAUAACAAAACAUACUUCCCUAUUUAAAAGAUUUAUAACCCCAAAUACAUAUACAAAUAUUCAGCACUCCUUAUGGACUCUUCUUGCAGGAACUACUCUCCCAUAAUGGUGAUGGGGCAUUCGGCCAUCUUAAUGCAAGGAGCCGGAUGUGGUCACGGUUCGGGUGGGAGGCUUCGACAAGGAGAAUCUUGUAACUCGACCAACUUCUCCUCUUCUUUAUACUCCCAUUGUAAGCAAUGCUUGGGGAGUUCUUGAUCAUGAUGUGAGGGACCUCCUAAGAGAUCCAAGGAAGAACAAGUGAAACCUGCAAAAUCAACAAACAUGUUACCUAGUUGUCUUGCUUGGCUCUGGGUUGUCGCCCCCUUUGGUGGUUGUUGGUUCCCGAGCACAUCAUUGCCCAAGUCCAAUUUUCCCGUGCGCUGCACUAAUCCUCACCCAAGCCCCGUGAGCGUGCAUAGUCCGACCCACGGUGCGCCGACCACCCCAGGCGGCACAUCAGGCCGAGGGACAGACUGGAAACGGCUCCUUCGGGGGCCUUCCCCAGGCAUCGAACAGUUGACUCAUAACUGGUACAGAUAAGGGGAAUCUGAUUCUUUAAUUAAAACAAAGCAUUGCGAUGGUCGUUGCGGAUGCUCACGCAAUGUGAUUUCUACCCAGUGCUCUGAAUGUCAAAGUGAAAAAAUUCAACCAAGCGCGGGUAAAUGGCGGGAGUAACUAUGACUCUCUUAAGGUAGCCAAAUUCCUCGUCAUCUAAUUAGUGACGCGCAUGAAUGGAUUAACGAGAUUUCCAUUGUCCCUGUCUACUAUCUAGCAAAACCACAGCUAAGGGAACGAGCUUGGCAGAAUCAGCGGGGAAAGAAGACCCUGUUGAGCUUGACUCUAGUCCGACUCUGUGAAAUGACUUGAGAGGUGUAGGAUAAGUGGGAGCCGGAAAUGGCGAAAGUGAAAUACCACUACUUUUAACGUUAUUUUACUUAUUCUGUGAAUCGAAAGCUGGGCAACGCCCCUCUUUUUGGACCCAAGGCCCGCCUCGGCGGGUGGAUCUGGGCGAAAGACAUUGUCAGGUGGGGAGUUUGGCUGGGGCGGCACAUUCGUUAAAAGAUAACGCAGGUGUCCUAAGAUGAGCUCAACGAGAACAAAAAUCUCGGGUGGAACAAAAGGGUAAAAGCUCGUUUGAUUCUAAUUUCAAGUACGAAUACGAACUGUGAAAGUGUGGGCUAUCAAUCCUUUAGACGUUCAAAAUUUGAAGCUAGAGGUGUCAGAAAAGUUACCACAGGGAUAACUGGCUUGUGGCAGCCAAGCGUUCAUAGCGACGUUGCUUUUCGAUCCUUCGAUGUCAGCUCUUGCUAUCAUAGUGAAGCAGAAUUCACCAAGUGUUGGAUUGUUCACCCACCAAUAUGGCACGUGAGCUGGGUUUAGACCGUCGUGAGAUAGGUUAAUUUUACCCUUCUGAUGAUAGCAUCGCAAUAGUAAUUCAACCUAGUACGAGAGGAACCGAUGAUUCGCACAAUUAGUCAUCGCGCUUGGUUGAAAAGUCAGUGGCACCUCUAAGUCAGAAUCUGGGCUAGAAGUGACGUGCGCGCCUGCCACUCGAUCGCAGACCAGCAGUAAGGGCCCUCGGCCCCAAAGGGUACGCGUCGUUGGCCAAGCCCUUGGAACUAAGUCGUUGCGCGGGCCGCCUUGAAGUGUUAUUUCAACCGAGAGGCCAGUAGAAUCCUUUGUAGAUGACUUAAAUAUGCAAUGAGGUAUUGUAAGUGGCAUAGUGGCCUUGUUGCCACAAUCCACUGAGAUUCAACCUCACGUCACAUCGAUUCGUCCCUCCCCUCCCA
rnacentral:rRNA from 1 species